AGACGCAGGUAGCAAGAGCAUUAUCUGGCUGGCUGGCCAGGAGGAUGCAGUCUGGCCCAUUGACUCGGCCCAUUGGCAGCAACCCUGUCCCAGCCCUGGUGGUGGCAGGGAGGCACCAUGUUCCUCACAACACUUAGCAAUGGGCGAGCUGAGGGCCAGGUGAAGCCACGUAACCCUAAAUGCAAGCGCAUUCAGAGGAAGACACGCAGAGAAGGACGCUCGUCUCUUGCCUCUGAAUUUGCACCAGGGAUUUGGGGGACUUGGAGGAGACACGUGGAGAACAGACAUGUCAAGACAUCUGGAAGAGAAAGAGUAAACCUUUGAGGAAGAUAUCAUAAAUAUCCUCAUCUAUAGUUGUGGAAACUGAGGCAAAGAAAGAAUCUCAACUGUGUUCCAGAUCUUACUGAAGCACAGUACUUGACAACACUGUUCCUGUCCUCACAAACUAAGACCGAUUCAUGAAGGCAGCAAACACAUGUGAUCAUGAAAGCAGA